AUUUGUAGAGUCUUCAUAUUACUUCUACAGUAGCUAUUUACUUUUCCUCUUAACAUGUAUAUUCGAUUGGCUGACACUGACACAUCAUGGUCCAGCACACUCCAAAUUAUCUUUCAGCUUAGACGGCUUAAUUGAUAAGCUAUCUUUAAUUCGAUAUAUACUACUUUCAUCGCUGCCUCUGUUUAUUUGUCGGGAAGGACAAACAAAUUCACAUUAGUACAAUGCAGAAAUUCUCAAAUUUACACUCCAAAUUUUCUUUACAGGUGUCCUUUUUGUUGGAACACUUCUGCCUCCUUUUACAUUUGGAAUUAGAAGCUUUUUGUGAAUUUAUGUGAUAAUCUUGCUACAUCAGAACCUGAUAUUUUCAAAUGAGAGAUAAAUUGUGUUAGAUAGGAAAAUACAAUUCAAAUGAACAUAAUCACAUGCUUAGAAUGAUAUACUUUACACUGCAUUUGUUGUAGUUGUAAAAUAGUUUACCCUCGCAUUUAGGCAUUCGUUGUCGUUUUAUACACUGCAAAUGUGAUCCUUACAUCACAUUAUUGUAUUUUAUGCAGGCUAGUAAUAGCAGCGGUGGAAGGGGAUGGAGACAGGGAGGAAAAUGUUCCUGAAGUUCCGGUGGAGAAUGAUUUCUUGUUAAAUGGGGAGCUCGACGGGGAGGAUGUACAUUGAUUCAUUAUCCUCUGUGUCCAUAGUCAGUUAAAGUAUGUAUUAGUUAGACUUUGUCGGAUGGUUAUUUAUUAGCUUUAGUUUUAUGUAAUCUUUUGGUAUGUACUGUUUGAUUGAGAUCAAACAGGAGAUGAUGUAUAGGGUUGUUGGACAGGUUGUGUAAAAUGUUAUAUCUAUUUUUAUGCAGCUUUGAUAUAUUUAUUGUUUUAA